rnacentral:rRNA from 1 species
CGGCGGCCACUGCUAUCAGGUUUCGACUAAGCCAUGCGAGUCAUGGGGUCGUAAGACACCGGCGAACCGCUCAGUAACACGCGGAUAAUCUACCCUCAGGUGAGGUAUAACCUCGGGAAACUGAGGCUAAUCCCUCAUAGUUACCGUAUGCUGGAAGGCUUCGGUGAUAAAAGCUCCGGUGCCUGAGGAUGAGUCUGCGGCCUAUCAGGUAGUAUGUGGUGUAAUGGACCACAUAGCCUAUGACGGGUACGGGCACUGAGAGGUGUAGCCCGGAGAUGGGUUCUGAGACACGAACCCAGGCCCUACGGGGCGCAGCAGGCGCGAAACCUUCGCAAUGCGCGCAAGCGCGACGAGGGGAACUCGAGUGCCAUUGCCAUUUUUGGUGAUGGCUUUUCUUGACCCUAAAAAGAUCAGGGAAUAAAAGCUGGGUAAGACGGGUGCCAGCCGCCGCGGUAAUACCCGCAGCUCGAGUGGUGGCCACUAUUAUUGAGCCUAAAGCGUCCGUAGCCGGUCUUGUAAAUCUCUGGGUAAAUCCUGCCGCUUAACGGUGGGAAUGCUGGAGAGACUGCAAGACUGGGGAUCGGGUGAAGCGAGAGGUACUCCUGGGGUAGGGGUAAAAUCCUGUAAUCCUGGGGGGACGACCGGUGGCGAAAGCGUCUCGCUAGAACGACUCCGACGGUGAGGGACGAAGGCUAGGGGAGCAAACCGGAUUAGAUACCGGGUAGUCCUAGCUGUAAACGCUGCACACUUGGUGUUGCCCCUUCUUUGGGAAAGGG